GUUGGAAACGACGAAUAAUACCCUAUGACAUAAACUCCUCGCAUGAGGAGCUUAUCAAAGAUUUAUCGGUGUAAGAUGGACUCGCGUCUGAUUAGCUAGUUGGUGAGGUAACGGCCCACCAAGGCGACGAUCAGUAGCCGGCUUGAGAGAGUGUACGGCCACAUUGGGACUGAGACACGGCCCAGACUCCUACGGGAGGCAGCAGCA
rnacentral:rRNA from 1 species